rnacentral:rRNA from 1 species
UAGGGAAUCUUGCGCAAUGGGCGAAAGCCUGACGCAGCGACGCCGCGUGCGGGACGAAGGCCCUCGGGUUGUAAACCGCUUUCAGCAGGGACGAAGCGAGAGUGACGGUACCUGCAGAAGAAGGUCCGGCCAACUACGUGCCAGCAGCCGCGGUAAUACGUAGGGACCGAGCGUUGUCCGGAUUCAUUGGGCGUAAAGAGCUCGUAGGCGGCUGCUCAAGUCGAAUGUGAAAACUCGAGGCUCAACCUCGAGCCUGCAUUCGAUACUGGGCGGCUAGAGUCUGGUAGGGGGAUCUGGAAUUCCUGGUGUAGCGGUGGAAUGCGCAGAUAUCAGGAGGAACACCGGUGGCGAAGGCGGGAUCCUGGGCCAGUACUGACGCUGAGGAGCGAAAGCGUGGGGAGCAAACAGGAUUAGAUACCCUGGUAGUCCACGCCGUAAACGAUGGGCGCUAGGUGUGGGAGGUCAUCGACUCCUUCCGUGCCGCAGCUAACGCAUUAAGCGCCCCGCCUGGGGAGUACGGCCGCAAGGCUAA